rnacentral:rRNA from 1 species
UACGGAGGAUGCAAGCGUUGUCCGGAUUUAUUGGGUUUAAAGGGUGCGUAGGCGGUCUUAUAAGUCAGUGGUUAAAUUACCUUGCUUAACAAGGGAGCUGCCAUUGAUACUGUAAGACUUGAAUACUGACUAGGUAGGCGGAAUUGGUAGUGUAGCGGUGAAAUGCUUAGAUAUUACCAGGAACACCGAUAGCGAAGGCAGCUUACUGGAUAGUAAUUGACGCUGAGGCACGAAAGUGCGGGUAUCAAACAGG